rnacentral:rRNA from 1 species
GAUGAACGCUGACAGCAUGCUUAACACAUCAGCAAUUGAUUGGUGGCGGACGGGUGAGUAACGCGUAAAGAACUUGCCUCACAGCUAGGGACAACAUUUGGAAACGAAUGCUAAUACCUAAUACUGUGAGAGAGCUUUGCGUCCCAUUAGCUAGUUGGAGAGGUAACGGCUCACCAAGGCGAUGAUGGGUAGCCGGCCUGAGAGGGGGAUCGGCCACAAGGGGACUGAGACACGGCCCUUACUCCUACGGGAGGCAGCAGUUGGGAAUAAUGGACAAUGGACCAAAGUCUGAUCCAGCAAUUCUGUGUGCACGAUGAAGUUUUCGGAAUGUAAAGUGCUUUCAGUUGGGAAGCGGUACCGGAAUAGAAAGCCACGGCUAACUACGUGCCAGCAGCCGCGGUAAUAC